rnacentral:rRNA from 1 species
AGGUAAGCUACUAAGAGCAAAUGGUGGAUGCCUUGGCUGGUAGAGGCGAUGAAGGACGUACUAGACUGCGAUAAGACACGGGGAGCUGUCAAGAAGCUUUGAUCCGUGUAUUUCCGAAUGGGGCAACCCAGUGUAUAGUAAUAUACAUUAUACGGGUUACAGAGAAUAGAUUAAAUACCAAAUUUUAUUAUUAAAUUUAUUAUGAUUAACUUUUAAAUUAUUUCUUAGUCUAUAAAUCAUAGUUUAGAAAUAACUAUAAAAGAGUAAUAAAUAGAAUAGAUAAAAAUAUUUUUUACUUCAUAAAGAUUAAUUAUAAUAAACUAAAAACUAAAAUUUCUGUAUAUAGUUAUCUGUUGUCUGUAAUCCGUAGGCGAACGUGGGGAAUUGAAACAUCUUAGUACCCACAGGAAAAGAAAUCAAAAGAGAUUACGCUAGUAGCGGCGAGCGAACGCGUAAGAGGGCAAACCACUAGUUUACUAGUGGGGUUGUAGGACUGCAUAAAAGACUAAAACAUGAUAGUAAAACAAUCUGGAAAGAUUGAGCAUAGAGGGUGAUACUCCCGUAUACGAAAUCAUCUUUUUACUUAGCAGUAUCCUGAGUAGGGCGAGGCACGUGAAACCUUGUCUGAAUCUGGGAAGACCACUUUCCAACCCUAAAUACUACUACUAGACCGAUAGUGCACAAGUACCGUGAGGGAAAGGUGAAAAGAACUGAGGUGAUCAGAGUGAAAUAGAACCUGAAACCAUUUGCUUACAAUCAUUCAGAGCACGAUUCUUUAUGACGUGUGAUGGACUGCCUUUUGCAUAAUGAGCCUGCGAGUUGUGGUGUCUGGCAAGGUUAAGGAAACCCGGAGCCGUAGCGAAAGCGAGUCUUAAUAGGGCGUUUAGUCAGAUGCUGCAGACCCGAAACGAUGUGAUCUAUCCAUGAGCAGGUUGAAACCGGUGUAAAAACCGGCGGAGGACCGAACUGGCAAGCGUUGAAAAGCUUUCGGAUGACUUGUGGAUAGGGGUGAAAGGCCAAUCAAACAUCGUGAUAGCUGGUUCUCUCCGAAAUAUAUUGAGGUAUAGCGUUGUGUCGUAACUAUAAGGGGUAGAGCACUGAAUGGGCUAGGGCGUAUACCAAUGUACCAAACCCUAUCAAACUCCGAAUACUUAUAGUGUAAUCACAGCAGUCAGGCGGCGAGUGAUAAAAUCCGUCGUCAAGAGGGGAACAACCCAGACUACCGACUAAGGUCCCCAAAUCUUAUUUAAGUGGAAAACGAUGUGAAGUUACUGAAACAACCAGGAGGUUGGCUUAGAAGCAGCCAUCCUUUAAAGAUAGCGUAAUAGCUCACUGGUCUAGUGAUUUUGCGCGGAAAAUAUAACGGGGCUAAAAUAAGUACCGAAGUCGUAGAUUCGGAAUACAGAUUACAGAAUACAGAUUACAGAGUUUAAAGAAAUAAAACAGAGUGAAUACAAAUAAUAAAAAACUAGAUGUAACUGAUUUAGAAAUUUAUAAAUCAUCUUAUAAUCUUAUGUUAGAAAUUCACAAAUUAACACUAUCUUAUCCAAAGAUAGAACAAUUUGGUGGUAUAGCUGAUCAAUUAAGAAGAUCAAGUAAAAGUAUAACUGCUAAUAUGGUAGAAGGUUAUGCUAAACAUAGAUUCUAUAAAGAUGAGUUUAAAAGAAUGCUAGUUUAUUCAAUAGGAAGUACAGAUGAAACUAUCUUAUGGAUAAGAGUUUCAAAAGAUUUAGGUUACAUUGAUGAAAAAAUAUCUAAUAAAUUAAUAAAAGAGUAUAAAAUCUUAGUUAGAAGAUUAUCUGUAUUUACAAGUAGUAUUAAAUAAUUAACUUUAAAUUCCGUAAUCCGUAUUCUGUCAUCUGUAUUCCGUCUGGUAGGAGAGCGUUGCAUUCAGCGUUGAAGGUGUACCGGUAAGGAGCGCUGGAGCGGAUGCAAGUGAGCAUGCAGGCAUGAGUAGCGAUAAUUAAUGUGAGAAUCAUUAACGCCGUAAACCCAAGGUUUCCUACGCGAUGCUCGUCAUCGUAGGGUUAGUCGGGUCCUAAGCAAAGUCCGAAAGGGGUAUGCGAUGGAAAAUUGGUUAAUAUUCCAAUACCUUUGAUUAUGUGCGAUGGAAGGACGCUUAAAGCUAGUGGGGCUAACUGAUGGAAUAGUUAGUCUAAGGAUGUAGGUUGAGUUAUAGGCAAAUCCGUAACUCUUUAUCUGAAAUCUUAAAGGCUUACAAAACUCUUCGGAGUAGCGUAAGAACCCAUGAUGCUAUAGAGCCAAGAAAAGUUUCUAAGUUUAGUAAUCAAAGCCCGUACCGUAAACCGACACAGGUGGGUGGGAUGAGUAUUCUAAGGCGCGUGGAAGAACUCUCUUUAAGGAACUCUGCAAAAUAGCACCGUAUCUUCGGUAUAAGGUGUGCCUACCAGGGUGUUAAAGCCCUAGAGGUUACAACAAAGAGUCCCUCCCGACUGUUUACCAAAAACACAGCACUCUGCUAACACGUAAGU